GCCGUAGGGCGCGAGCGUUGUCCGGAUUUAUUGGGCGUAAAGAGCUCGUAGGCGGCUUGUCGCGUCAACUGUGAAAACCCGUGGCUCAACCAUGUGGUCUGCAGUCGAUACGGGCAGGCUAGAAUUCGGUAGGGGAGACUGGAAUUCCUGGUGUAGCGGUGAAAUGCGCAGAUAUCAGGAGGAACACCGGUGGCGAAGGCGGGUCUCUGGGCCGAUAUUGACGCUGAGGAGCGAAAGCGUGGGGAGCGAACAGG
rnacentral:rRNA from 1 species